UUAUACGACCGUACCGCAAACCGACACUGGUGCGCGAGAUGAGUAUUCUAAGGCGCUUGAGAGAACUCAGGAGAAGGAACUCGGCAAAUUGACACCGUAACUUCGGAAGAAGGUGUGCCCUAUUAGUGUGUAGUGAACAACGAAGCAUGAAUGGGUUGCAAAAAAUCGGUGGCUGCGACUGUUUAUUAAAAACACAGCACUCUGCAAACACGAAAGUGGACGUAUAGGGUGUGACGCCUGCCCGGUGCUGGAAGAUUAAAUGAUGGGGUGCAAGCUCUUGAUUGAAGUCCCAGUAAACGGCGGCCGUAACGAUAACGGUCCUAAGGUAGCGAAAUUCCUUGUCGGGUAAGUUCCGACCUGCACGAAUGGCGUAACGAUGGCCACACUGUCUCCUCCUGAGACUCAGCGAAGUUGAAAUGUUUGUGAUGAUGCAAUCUCCCCGCGGAAAGACGGAAAGACCCCAUGAACCUUUACUGUAGCUUUGUAUUGGACUUUGAACAGAUCUGUGUAGGAUAGGUGGGAGGCUUUGAAGCAGGGUCGCUAGAUCUUGUGGAGCCAACGUUGAAAUACCACCCUGGUGUGUUUGAGGUUCUAACCUAGGUCCAUUAUCUGGAUCGGGGACAGUGCAUGGUAGGCAGUUUGACUGGGGCGGUCUCCUCCCAAAGCGUAACGGAGGAGUUCGAAGGUACGCUAGUUACGGUCGGACAUCGUGACGAUAGUGCAAUGGCAUAAGCGUGCUUAACUGCGAGACUGACAAGUCGAGCAGAUGCGAAAGCAGGACAUAGUGAUCCGGUGGUUCUGUAUGGAAGGGCCAUCGCUCAACGGAUAAAAGGUACUCUGGGGAUAACAGGCUGAUACCGCCCAAGAGUUCAUAUCGACGGCGGUGUUUGGCACCUCGAUGUCGGCUCAUCUCAUCCUGGGGCUGUAGCCGGUCCCAAGGGUAUGGCUGUUCGCCAUUUAAAGAGGUACGUGAGCUGGGUUUAAAACGUCGUGAGACAGUUUGGUCCCUAUCUUCCGUGGGCGCUGCAGAUUUGAGGAAGCCUGCUCCUAGUACGAGAGGACCGGAGUGGACACACCUCUGGUGUAUCGGUUGUCACGCCAGUGGCAUUGCCGAGUAGCUAAGUGUGGAAGAGAUAACCGCUGAAAGCAUCUAAGCGGGAAACUCGUUUCAAGAUGAGAUCUGCCGGGGCCUUGAGCCCCCUAAAGAGUCGUUCAAGACCAGGACGUUGAUAGGUCAGGUGUGGAAGCGAAAA
rnacentral:rRNA from 1 species